GGAUUAGGCAUGCAAGUCGAACGGGAAACCCCUCGGGGUUUCUAGUGGCGAAAGGGUGAGUAACACGUGAGCAACCUGCCCCCAAGUCUGGAAUAAGCGGUGGAAACGCCGUCUAAUGCCGGAUGUCGAAUGGCCCCCGCCUGGUGGCUCUUCGAAAGAUUUAUCGCUUGGGGAUGGGCUCGCGCCCCAUUAGCUGGUUGGCGGGGUAAUGGCCCACCAAGGCUACGACGGGUAGGUGGACUGAGAGGUCGGUCACCCACACUGGGACUGAGACACUGCCCAGACUCCUACGGGAGGCUGCAGUCGAGAAUCUUCCGCAAUGGGCGAAAGCCUGACGGAGCAAUGCCGCGUGAGGGAAGAAUGCCUUCGGGUUGUAAACCUCUGUCACCCGGGACGAAAUUUGACGGUACCGGGAGAGGAAGUCACGGCUAACUACGUGCCAGCAGCCGCGGUAACACGUAGGUGGCAAGCGUUAUUCGGAUUUACUGGGCGUAAAGGGUCCGCAGGGGGCCUGACAAGUCUGUCGUGAAAGGCCAAGGCUCAACCUUGGCACUGCGGUGGAAACAGUCGGGCUAGAGUCAGUGAGGGGCAGACGGAACACCUGGUGUAGCGGUGGAAUGCGUAGAUAUCAGGUGGAACACCUAUGGCGAAGGCGGUCUGCUGGCACAUGACUGACCCUCAGGGACGAAAGCGUGGGUAGCAAACAGGAUUAGAUACCCUGGUAGUCCACGCCGUAAACUUUGUGAACUAGAUGUGCCCGGGCUGGCCCCGGGCGUGUCCAAGCUAACGCGAUAAGUUCACCGCCUGGGGACUACGGCCGCAAGGCUAAAACUCAAAGGAAUUGACGG
rnacentral:rRNA from 1 species